rnacentral:rRNA from 1 species
ACAUGCAGUCGACGGGGUAGCAAUACCCAGUGGCGGACGGGUGAGUAACACGUGGGAAUCUGCCUUGAGAUGGGGGAUAGCAGACCGAAAGGUCUAUUAAUACCGCAUAUGUGUAUGUCUCGACAGGGACAUACAUGAAAGGAGCAAUCCGUCUUAAGAUGAGCCCGCGUCCGAUUAGCUAGUUGGUAGGGUAAUGGCCUACCAAGGCGACGAUCGGUAGGUGGUCUGAGAGGAUGAUCACCCACAAUGGGACUGAGACACGGCCCAUACUCCUACGGGAGGCAGCAGUGGGGAAUUUUGUGCAAUGGGCGAAAGCCUGACACAGCGACACCGCGUGAGCGAAGAAGCCCUUUGGGGUGUAAAGCUCUGUCAGCUGGAACGAAACAAAUGACGGUACCAGCACAGGAAGCAUCGGCUAACUACGUGCCAGCAGCCGCGGUAAGACGUAGGAUGCGAGCGUUGUCCGGAUUUAUUGGGCGUAAAGAGUUCGUAGGUGGUUUGUUAAGUUCGAUGUUAAAGAUCGGGGCUCAACUCCGGGAGUGCAUUGAAUACUGGCAGACUCGAGUGUGGUAGAGGCUAGUGGAAUUCCCAGUGUAGCGGUGAAAUGCGUAGAUAUUGGGAAGAACACCGGUGGCGUAGGCGACUAGCUGGGCCAUAACUGACGCUGAGGAACGAAAGCCAGGGGAGCGAAUGGGAUUAGAUACCCCAGUAGUCCUGGCUGUAAACGAUGGAUACUAGGCGUAUCGGGUAUCGACCCCUGAUGUGCCGCAGCUAACGCGAUAAGUAUCCCGCCUGAGUAGUACGGCCGCAAGGUUGAAACUCAAAGGAAUUGACGGGGGCCCGCACAAGCGGUGGAACAUGUGGUUUAAUUCGAAGCAACGCGAAGAACCUUACCAAGGCUUGACAUGUG